GUAAAAAUUAAAUCAUAAAACACUUGAAUUUUUAAUUACUAUGACGAAAUGUGAUGAAUUUACUUCGAAAAAUUUUUAAAAAUGUACGUAACAAAGAAAAUAUUUGAGAAAAUAAAAGAAAAUAAACAGUUUAAAAUAAAUAACAAUACCUUAUUGUCAACAUUUCUAAAAUACCGAAAAUAUUUCUUGGUGGUGACAUCUCUCUCAUAAUUAUCCUAAAUAUAAGAGUAUAUACAAGAGUAUAUAUAAGUCAAGUUGCAUAAAGAAGGUUAGUUACGACUAUCACUGUGAAGAGAAAAGAAAUACCAAUGUAGUAAUAAAAAGUCGUUGAAUAGUAGUAAAGUAUGAACAAUAUAGAAUUGUUUCUAUGGUUGAAUGAACAGUUAAAAGGCUGAGUGAGCGCGAAAAGAAAAGAAGAGAAAAUCGCGAUGAAAAAGGGAUUAGAAAUUUCCAAAUCGAUAGAGGUUAUAUUAUAUCUCGAUAAGCUGCAGAUCAUUGUGUUACGCUAUAUAUAGAAAAUGAAUAUAGAAAAUAGAAAGUAAAUAUCUGAAUAUUUUUGUGUUCCAUUGUAUAAUUCAGGUCAAAAUCGAAUUGAAGAAACUGAUAAAAAAAAAUAGUGUAUGUGAAAUCAAAACUCUUACAGGAGUGUCUUUUCUCCGGUUCGGCUCUCGAUAUCCUCAAUUGUAAAUCCAGAAGUGAAAAAAAGAACAAGUAUAAAAUCGCGCCGACAGAUUAACGAGAUCGAUGAAAAAAAGAAAACGCAGCAGACGAGCGCGAGCGUGGAUGGAUCAUAAUUUCACGGUGAUGAGCUUAAACCGGCAAUAACUCAGACGGCACGAGCAACAAACGAUUCGCGUGUAAACCCGUAUUCGCGGUAAUGGGGCAUGCCCCGUUACAAAAUCACCUUUGCCAGAGAAUGUUCGAAUGCUUUCGUUGCAUCGAGCAUGUCGACUCCGGUGAAAUUUCAACUCCGCACGGCUAAUUAGAAUUGAGAUGUGUAUUAUGGGUCGCGACAAUGCCUCGUGGAAACGAUAACGACCUGGCAAUUAGACUGGGCUGGCCGCUGCUCCUUAGGUAUUUCUACACCUAUUUGGAUAUUUCUAUACUUCUGGAUGCAGAGGCUCACCAAACCAGAAAUCGAACAACCGUUUUUUAAUUCUCGUAUUCUUAUCUUAAGAAAUCUAUUUCUACCGUUAUUUACGUCGUUUUUAUAAUAUACGUAUUACGUAGAAAAAGUUUAAUGAACUCGUUAAUUAAACAAACUUCAGGCUUAUAGAAAGAUAAGAGGACAAGACGUGGUUAUAUGAUCAUGGUUUUUCAAUGAUAAGAUUUGAAUGAUGGAUGUGACACGUGUGGAAUAAGCGUGUGUAUAUGGAUUUUCAAGAGGAGAACAGGGAUUAAAUUUUUGUUUUUGGAUUGUUGUUAAUGUAGUUUAAAAAAAAUUCACUAAAGUUUAAAUUAAAUAGUAUUUAUAUAUCUGGGUAAUAAGAAGUUGAUUUUCAAGGUAUUAUAAUUUAUUUUAAACAUUAUUAGAAAUAUUUGCUUCCAUUAAAUCUUUAAAAUUGAACAAUUUUGUUCAAUUUCAUCUUAA
rnacentral:lncRNA from 1 species